rnacentral:lncRNA from 1 species
AAACUAAAUAACUGAGUUUCAUAUACAUAGCUAGAAUCCAAAAUACAAGGCUACUCGCAUUGGCGAGUUAAACAACUAUGUACAUAAACUCCAAAACAACAACUACCUGCAGUAGGGGAAAGCCUCUAGCUCUGACUGUCGGGUAGGGCUCUAGCUCGCAACGCCCUUGCCUCGAUCCUGGUUGGCGGAAGAUGCAGCAGCCGGCACCUGUGGCUCUGCAAAACAUAAGUAACAACUGGGCGUGAGAACUACUGUAAAAACAAGUAGUCCUCAGUGGGUACCGCCCAAAACAACAUCGGUCACCCACUAAGUCUACAGAAGGGAGCAAGGAUAGAAGGAAAGCAGGAAGCAUACUCUACCGCUAUCAUCCACUACACUAUCAUGCUCUACACUAACCAACUGUAGGAAAUGUCAAAUCUGACCCAAUCCAAAUCGGGACUGUAAGCAUACCCGUCCCCGGGACUGUGAAUACACCCGUCCCUGCCCCGCUGCGACUAUCGGCUCUAUCCACACUAACUGGUCCGUGGAGAGCAAGUCUAACUGGCAUGAGCGACACCAACGCAAAAGCACAAGCCUGACUCCGGAGUGGCACUCGUGGGCGCUACCCAACCGAGUAUGCAGCGUAUCUCUGUCGAGCUCAAUCAGGCUCCAACUAGCCAAAGUCAAGUAAUCGACUCAAACUGGUCUAACAACCAACAGGUAACGUGCCCUCGGCACAAUCUAACGCCAAAAAAGGCGAUACGGGUCCACCGUCAACUCUGACGGCACCCAACAGUCCGAAACAACCUGAACGACCCUGUAAAAAUCCACUCGGCGAAACAGCACGAGUGUAUAUACAUUCUAAACUACCUGGAGUACUCGUCUUGAAGAAACUGCGAAGUACAAUUUUCUAACGGCUCCUAGAGCUAACUCAGGUAGUUAAAACUGGUGACAGGUCCAAAUCGCAGGUUUUCUCCUAAGUCAAAUCCAAGUCCAACAAGUAUCAAUUAUCAUCACUUACUAAGCAUGCUCCCAAUUCAGGUUUUUAAUAUACUAAUCCAUGAAUUUGAGCUACCUCAUUUAGUGUUCAACGACAAAGCAUACAAGUCGACUAAUAUGUACUUAGAGGCAAAAACCGAUGAACCCACCUCUCAAGCAACUCCUGGCAGCGAAGAAAGUGGCCCGGAUCCAAAAUGAUCCCUCGCUGGUCCGUCGAAGUCCCCGGUUCUCCUGCUGCGAAGAAGUAAACCCAAUUACACUCAAAAUCACGAAAUCUGCCCAGAAAACAGCAGCGAAGAAAGCGUUAAAUCCGACCAAGCUAGCCUUAUCCAAAUUCAGCAAACAAGGGUUCUGAAGCUUCGUCUCAAAGUCACGAAUCCAAUGGUCCAGGUUUUCUUGAAUUCCGACGCUCCUACGCAGAGAACGGGCCAGAAUACGAAACGUCGACGCUGGAACCUGCGAAACAGCAUCUCUGAAAUCUGCUCGGCAAACAGCAGCCUAGUAAAACUAGGGUUCGACAGGGCAAAUCUGCUCCAAAAAUCGCGAUCUUGGGCUCAGAAUCUUCGUCUCGAAGUCGCGAAUCUAGCACGCCAAAUUUCGUCGCGUUUCGACAUUCCUACACAGAGAACUAGGUAAAACACGGCGGGUCAAUGCUGGAAUCAGCAAUCAGCACUUCAGAGUCUGCUCGGCAAACAGCAACUCAGUAAAAAGGGAUUUCGACAGAGCAAACCUUCUCCAAAUCGGGCGAGUAAGGAUCCUAUGGAUUCGUCUC